UUUACCCGUCUGUUUACAACACACAGAUAAAUAAUCAGAAUAUCCAGGGAAUGAGGCUGCCUGGCCACUGUAUCUCUCUGGUUCGAAAUAAAGCACAGUAAUUAAUACGUUAAAAAUACCUACUGGACCCUUACUAUGUCCCAGAUACUCGAUGGGGUGCUAGCGAUAGGAAUGUAGAUAAUGGAACUCAUUCCAAACCCUAACCCAACCCCCAACCCCGAUCCUGACCCCAACACUAGCCCUAAAUCUAACCCCAACCCAAUCCUAGCCCAAACCCUGUACCAAUGCUACCCUUAACCAAAAACCCAACCCAAACCCUAAUUCUUUAAAAUAAUUUUUUUUUAAUAUUUAUUUUUGAGAGAGAGAGAGAGAGAAAGAGAGCACCAGCAGGGGAGGGGCAGAGACAGAGAGGGAGACACAGAAUCCGAAGCAGGCUCCAGGCUCCGAGCUGUCAGCACAGAGCCCCAUGCAGGGCUCGAACCCACGAACCGUGAGAUCAUGACCUGGAUCAUGACCUGAGCCAAAGUCGGAGGCUCAACUGACUGAGCCACCCAGGUGUCCCCCGAACCCUAAUUCUAAUCUUCGUGUUAAAAAUCUUUCCAUAAAUGCGUCUCCUUUUCUGUCGUAGUCAGUGGAGUGUGCUGAGUAAUAAUGAAACUCAUCUGAUUCUGAAUCAUCUGGUGCCUUCAGACUGGAAAAGGCAGAAGGCAGGUGAGACCAGGUUGAACACUGGCGAAUCCAGGGGAUGACUUUGAAAAACAAGGCACGUUGGAGCCAUUGCUGGAACCAGCCUUGGGCAAAUGAGUCAGAAGUCAGCACCCCAGGAGCCCCAAACAGAGAGGGUGGGUUUUUUCACACCCAAAUGGAGUCUUCCUUUGUGGAGGCUCAGGAGAAGGACCUCACUACGGGUCACUGCUGUUUGUUGAGCACACGCUGGUGCCACGCUGGGCGAAUUGCUUGUUAUCUCUGUACAGGUUUACGAUCACUCAGCGGACCGGACGAAGAAACUGGCACAGAAAGGUUCAGUCACUUGAGCAAGGCACCCAGCUAGCUAGCUAGUUAAGUGUUGCUGGUAGGAUCUGAACCCAGAUCUACUGACGUAUAGACUCUUAACCUUAUACUUCAAGGCAAAGAAAAUCCCAGGGGUGCCGAGGAGACGCUGUCGAGAUGUCCCCGAAACCGCGCGGCACAGAGAAGCCCACGGACAACCCCGGGUG